rnacentral:rRNA from 1 species
AUGAGUAUCAUCUGCUGGAACCGUCGAGGCCUGGGGUCGGACUCGACAGUUGGCGAGCUUCGCUGGCUUGUGAAGCUCUACCGACCCUCCCUCCUCUUUCUUUCAGAGACAAAGAGGAGGGAUUCGAGAGUUAGAAAUUUCUUGUGGUCUUUGGGUUAUUCGGGCUGUUUUGCUGUCAGCAACGAGGGGCUCAGUGGUGGCCUCGCUCUCUUCUGGACACAUACGGCGGUAGUGACGGUUAGGGCUGCCAACAAGCGGUGUAUUGAUGUCAAGGUCCAGCUGGAUGAGGGUGCACCUUGGCGGGCUUCUUUUGUCUAUGGGGAACCAAGGAGAGAGGAUAGAGUUCACUUUUGGGAACUCCUUCGACGCAUGCAACCUUCCUCGACGGGUCCUUGGAUUUGUUGUGGUGACUUUAAUGAAGUUCUUAUUCAGGAUGAACACUGUGGUCCUAGGGACCGGCUGGACUCACAGAUGGCUGCGUUUCGGGAUUGUUUGAUGGAUUGUGGGUUAUCUGAUUUGGGUUACUCGGGUCCGAAAUUCACUUGUUGCAAUAAGCAAGACCCCAACAGCAAUGUCAGAUGUCGGUUGGACCAUGCAGUGGCUAACAGUGCCUUCACCAGUCUUUUUAAAGAUUGUGGUGUGGAGAAUGUCAUUGCCACUACUUCUGAUCAUUACCCAAUUCUGAUUUAUCUGGAUCGUGUUUCCCAACAGCGCCACUUGGCACCGGUACAUCAAGGUUUUAGAUUCGAAGCGAUGUGGCUGUGA